GUCUUUUUGUGGUUAAAUAGAAAGUCUGGCCUGCCCAAUGAUGAUGAAUGGCCGCGGUAUUAUGACCGUGCGAAGGUAGCAUAAUCAAUAGUCUAUUAAAUGUGGUCUGGAAUGAAUGGUUUGACGGAGAGUGACUUUCUUAAAAUGAUUGGUGAAUUUAAAUUGUUAGUCAAAAUGCUAACAUAAAUAAGUAGGACGAGAAGACCCUAUAGAGCUUUAUAUACAUUAUUUAUGUUGGUGGUAUAUGAAUAAUAAGUUAUAUUUUGUUGGGGCGACAGUAAAUAUUAAACAUUUAUUAUUUUUGACUAUUAUUAUAGGGGAUUUGAUCCAUUAUUAAUGAUUAAUAGACUAAGUUACCUUAGGGAUAACAGCGUAAUUUUACUUAAGAGUUCUUAUCGAUAGUGAAGUUUGCGACCUCGAUGUUGGAUUAAAAUUCCUUUUAGGCGCAGUAGUUUAUGGAGGCAGUCUGUUCGACUGUUAAAAUUUUACA
rnacentral:rRNA from 1 species